rnacentral:rRNA from 1 species
GACGAACGCUGGCGGCGUGCUUAACACAUGCAAGUCGAACGAGAAUCUACUGAAAGAGUUUUCGGACAAUGGAUGUAGAGGAAAGUGGCGGACGGGUGAGUAACGCGUGAGGAACCUGCCUUGAAGAGGGGGACAACAGUUGGAAACGACUGCUAAUACCGCAUGAAGCAUAGGGGUCGCAUGAUUCUUAUGCCAAAGAUUUAUCGCCUCAAGAUGGCCUCGCGUCUGAUUAGCUAGUUGGCGGGGUAACGGCCCACCAAGGCGACGAUCAGUAGCCGGACUGAGAGGUUGAACGGCCACAUUGGGACUGAGAUACGGCCCAGACUCCUACGGGAGGCAGCAGUGGGGAAUAUUGGGCAAUGGGCGCAAGCCUGACCCAGCAACGCCGCGUGAAGGAAGAAGGCUUUCGGGUUGUAAACUUCUUUUAAGAGGGAAGAGCAGAAGACGGUACCUCUAGAAUAAGCCACGGCUAACUACGUGCCAGCCGCCGCGGUAA